UAGAGGAAACGCCAGUUCACGGGAUUGGCCAGUCGUUUCAGCGGGUGCGAGAGAGAAAAUCUGGGGGCGUUUGCGCCUGAAAUUUCUCCCUUUGCCUAGGUACUACGGAGGAGAAGCCGAUUUGCUUGUUCCGUAUGCGUUUGUCCCUAGGCGCGCAUUUUGCCGUGUGUCGGCUGGCGAUCCUUCAAAUCAAUGUCUCCUUUCUUGACGAAGCCGUGCGUGCCGUGCGUCGUGCAUAAGUGUUCCUCCUGCGUCUCCUUGGAUGUUGCCGGGUCUCCUGGAAAUUCAUCCACAGCUGGAAACCAAAAUUGUGCUUCAUCCCAGACCACAGCUUAUCUCCACAUCAAAGCCUCAUAUCACCAUUACAUCUCCAGUCUCACUCACGUUCACUCUGGAAAAAAAAAAAAAAAAAAAGAA